ACCCUUGUUUUGGCAGGGUGUGUACUAAAAUUGCAACUAUACAGAGGGGACUAACAUGUCCCUGUGCAGGGAUAACAAGUAAAUCCAUGCUACGUUUCACAAUUUU
ensembl:snRNA U6 U6 spliceosomal RNA